rnacentral:rRNA from 1 species
GCCAGACUCCUACGGGAGGCAGCAGUGAGGAAUAUUGGUCAAUGGCCGGGAGGCUGAACCAGCCAAGUCGCGUGAGGGAAGACGGCCCUACGGGUUGUAAACCUCUUUUGUCAGGGAGCAAGGUGCAGGUCGGGACCUGCUGUGAGAGUACCUGAAGAAAAAGCAUCGGCUAACUCCGUGCCAGCAGCCGCGGUAAUACGGAGGAUGCGAGCGUUAUCCGGAUUUAUUGGGUUUAAAGGGUGCGCAGGCGGAGGCCCAAGUCAGCGGUAAAAUCGCGGGGCUCAACCCCGCUCCGCCGUUGAAACUGUGUCCCUUGAGUGCGCGAAGGGUAGGCGGAAUGCGUGGUGUAGCGGUGAAAUGCAUAGAUAUCACGCAGAACCCCGAUUGCGAAGGUAGCCUUCCGGCGCCCUACUGACGCUGAGGCACGAAAGUGCGGGGAUCGAACAGGAUUAGAUACCCCAGUAA